UAGGGAAUCUUCCGCAAUGGACGCAAGUCUGACGGAGCAACGCCGCGUGAGUGAAGAAGGAUUUCGGUUCGUAAAACUCUGUUGUUAGAGAAGAACAGCGCAUAGAGUAACUGUUAUGCGUGUGACGGUAUCUAACCAGAAAGCCACGGCUAACUACGUGCCAGCAGCCGCGGUAAUACGUAGGUGGCAAGCGUUGUCCGGAUUUAUUGGGCGUAAAGCGAGCGCAGGCGGUCAAUUAAGUCUGAUGUGAAAGCCCCCGGCUCAACCGGGGAGGGUCAUUGGAAACUGAUUGACUUGAGUGCAGAAGAGGAGAGUGGAAUUCCAUGUGUAGCGGUGAAAUGCGUAGAUAUAUGGAGGAACACCAGUGGCGAAGGCGACUCUCUAGUCUGUAACUGACGCUGAGGCUCGAAAGCGUGGGUAGCAAACAGG
rnacentral:rRNA from 1 species